CCCCCGGCCGCCAUCUUUGUCCCCCCCCCCACCCUCAUCCCCAGGGAGGAAGGAUGGAGCCGAGGGUGAGGGGGAGGCUGAGACCCCCGGAGACCCCAUGGAGACCCAUAGCGAGGAGCCGCCGGUGCCCAUGGAGCCGGGACCCCCCC